UAGAAUAUGGUGUAAUUGGUAGCACUAAGAUUUUUGAAUUCUUUAGAGUAGGUUCGAAUCCUAUUGUUCUAG
rnacentral:tRNA from 1 species